rnacentral:rRNA from 1 species
CCUACGGGGGGCUGCAGUAAGGAAUAUUGGUCAAUGGACGCAAGUCUGAACCAGCCAUGCCGCGUGGAGGAUGAAGGUCCUCUGGAUUGUAAACUUCUUUUAUUUGGGAAGAAACUCCCGAUUUCCAUCGGGAUUGACGGUACCAGAUGAAUAAGCACCGGCUACCUCCGUGCCAGCAGCCGCGGUAAUACGGAGGGUGCCAGCGUUAUCCGGAUUCAAGGGGUUUAAAGUGGGCAGGUAUGGGCGUGUUGAACUCUCCGGGCUUAACCCGGGAACUGCCAUUGAUACUAUUUGUCUUGAAUACUCUGGAGGUGAGCGGAAUAUGUCAUGUAGCGGUGAAAUGCGUAGAUAUGACAUAGAACACCCAUUGCGAAGGCAGCUCACUACGGAAAUAUUGACGCUGAGGCACGAAAGCGUGGGGAUCAAACAGGAUUAGAUACCCUUGUAGUC